GCCUAACACAUGCAAGUCGAGCGGUAGCACAGAGAGCUUGCUCUCGGGUGACGAGCGGCGGACGGGUGAGUAAUGUCUGGGAAACUGCCUGAUGGAGGGGGAUAACUACUGGAAACGGUAGCUAAUACCGCAUAACGUCGCAAGACCAAAGUGGGGGACCUUCGGGCCUCAUGCCAUCAGAUGUGCCCAGAUGGGAUUAGCUAGUAGGUGGGGUAACGGCUCACCUAGGCGACGAUCCCUAGCUGGUCUGAGAGGAUGACCAGCCACACUGGAACUGAGACACGGUCCAGACUCCUACGGGAGGCAGCAGUGGGGAAUAUUGCACAAUGGGCGCAAGCCUGAUGCAGCCAUGCCGCGUGUAUGAAGAAGGCCUUCGGGUUGUAAAGUACUUUCAGCGGGGAGGAAGGCGAUAAGGUUAAUAACCUUGUCGAUUGACGUUACCCGCAGAAGAAGCACCGGCUAACUCCGUGCCAGCAGCCGCGGUAAUACGGAGGGUGCAAGCGUUAAUCGGAAUUACUGGGCGUAAAGCGCACGCAGGCGGUCUGUCAAGUCGGAUGUGAAAUCCCCGGGCUCAACCUGGGAACUGCAUUCGAAACUGGCAGGCUAGAGUCUUGUAGAGGGGGGUAGAAUUCCAGGUGUAGCGGUGAAAUGCGUAGAGAUCUGGAGGAAUACCGGUGGCGAAGGCGGCCCCCUGGACAAAGACUGACGCUCAGGUGCGAAAGCGUGGGGAGCAAACAGGAUUAGAUACCCUGGUAGUCCACGCCGUAAACGAUGUCGAUUUGGAGGUUGUGCCCUUGAGGCGUGGCUUCCGGAGCUAACGCGUUAAAUCGACCGCCUGGGGAGUACGGCCGCAAGGUUAAAACUCAAAUGAAUUGACGGGGGCCCGCACAAGCGGUGGAGCAUGUGGUUUAAUUCGAUGCAACGCGAAGAACCUUACCUGGUCUUGACAUCCACAGAACUUAGCAGAGAUGCUUUGGUGCCUUCGGGAACUGUGAGACAGGUGCUGCAUGGCUGUCGUCAGCUCGUGUUGUGAAAUGUUGGGUUAAGUCCCGCAACGAGCGCAACCCUUAUCCUUUGUUGCCAGCGGUUAGGCCGGGAACUCAAAGGAGACUGCCAGUGAUAAACUGGAGGAAGGUGGGGAUGACGUCAAGUCAUCAUGGCCCUUACGACCAGGGCUACACACGUGCUACAAUGGCAUAUACAAAGAGAAGCGACCUCGCGAGAGCAAGCGGACCUCAUAAAGUAUGUCGUAGUCCGGAUUGGAGUCUGCAACUCGACUCCAUGAAGUCGGAAUCGCUAGUAAUCGUAGAUCAGAAUGCUACGGUGAAUACGUUCCCGGGCCUUGUACACACCGCCCGCCACACCAUGGGAGUGGGUUGCAAAAGAAGUAGGUAGCUUAACCUUCGGGAGGGCGCUUACCACUUUGUGAUUCAUGACUGGGGUGAAGU
rnacentral:rRNA from 1 species